UACGGAGGGUGCAAGCAUUAAUCGGAAUUACUGGGCGUAAAGCGUGCGCAGGCGGUUUGUUAAGUCUGCUGUGAAAUCCCCCGAGCUCAACUUGGGAAUUGCAGUGGAUACUGGCAAGCUGGAGUACGGUAGAGGAAGGUGGAAUUCCCGGUGUAGCAGUGAAAUGCGUAGAGAUCGGGAGGAACACCAGUGGCGAAGGCGGCCUUCUGGACCAGUACUGACGCUCAUGCACGAAAGCGUGGGGAGCAAACAGG
rnacentral:rRNA from 1 species